rnacentral:rRNA from 1 species
UACAGAGGGGGCAAGCGUUGUUCGGAAUUACUGGGCGUAAAGGGCGCGUAGGCGGCCACCUAAGUCAGACGUGAAAUCCCUCGGCUCAACCGGGGAACUGCGUCUGAUACUGGGCGGCUUGAAUUCGGGAGAGGGAUGCGGAAUUCCAGGUGUAGCGGUGAAAUGCGUAGAUAUCUGGAGGAACACCGGUGGCGAAGGCGGCAUCCUGGACCGAGAUUGACGCUGAGGCGCGAAAGCCAGGGGAGCAAACGGG